GGCCAGAGGGGCGGGUAUAGGCUGGGGCAAAGUCUAUGACGUAAAGCGAGCGGCUAGCUCAUUGGCUGAAGGCGACGGAGGUCAGCGCCUCGGCGUCGUACGGCCACAGGAUUGGCUGAGACGACUCCCCCAGGGACCAGCCGCUCCGGAACUGAGAAAGCCGCGGGGAGGAGAAACCGAAACGAAGGCGGAGAGCAGGAGGUGCGCAUGCGUAGGGAGGGCACGCGGUCUCUCCGCCCCUUUUCACCCCGCGGGGCCCGAACGGAAACCUUAAGUGACGUUAGUCAUUGUGCUAGAGGUAACGAGGAACCUCGGGGAAGGGGCGGGCUCGAGCUGGCGAACCAGACGCUUCGGCGCUGCAGGGUCUCAGCAUGUAGCCCUGCCUGGAAAUCCUGCCUCAGAGUCUAAAGGUCUGGGUGACAGGUUUGAGUCUCCAUAAGUGCUGAUGUGUGUAUCCACAGAACUGAGAAGGAGGCCCCAUCCAUAGCUAAUAUCCACAGAGGACAGAUGUCUGCACCCUCCUUGGCAAACAGCCACUCCAACCCAGCAACGCCACUUCCAGGAACUGAUCCCCACAAACACAGAGUGGCUCUGACACAGGAGUUAUUUAUUGCAGUGUGGUUUGGGAUAUUAAAGUAGAGGUGCAUUCCAUCAAUAAAGAUCUUUCAGUUAACA